rnacentral:rRNA from 1 species
UCGUCAGCUCGUGUCGUGAGAUGUUGGUUAAGUCCGCACGAGCGCAACCCCUAUCCUCAGUUGCCAUCAUUAAGUUGGGCACUCUGUGGAGACUGCCGGUGUUAAACCGGAGGAAGGUGGGAUGACGUCAAGUCCUCAUGGCCCUUAUGACCAGGGCUACACACGUGCUACAAUGGCCGGUACAAAGAGUUGCAAUACCGCGAGGUGGAGCUAAUCUCAUAAAGCCGGUCUCAGUUCGGAUUGGAGUCUGCAACUCGACUCCAUGAAGUUGGAAUCGCUGGUAAUCGCGGAUCAGCACGCCGCGGUGAAUACGUUCCCGGGCCUU